UACGGAGGGGGCUAGCGUUGUUCGGAAUUACUGGGCGUAAAGCGUACGUAGGCGGCUUUGUAAGUUAGAGGUGAAAGCCUGGUGCUCAACACCAGAACUGCCUUUAAGACUGCAUCGCUUGAACGUCGGAGAGGUGAGUGGAAUUCCGAGUGUAGAGGUGAAAUUCGUAGAUAUUCGGAAGAACACCAGUGGCGAAGGCG
rnacentral:rRNA from 1 species